UACGUAGGUGGCAAGCGUUGUCCGGAUUUACUGGGCGUAAAGGGUGCGUAGGCGGAUUUAUAAGUCAGUGGUGAAAGCCUAUAGCUUAACUAUAGAAUUGCCAUUGAUACUGUAGGUCUUGAGUACAGUUGAGGUGGGCGGAAUGUGCAGUGUAGCGGUGAAAUGCUUAGAUAUUGCACAGAACACCAAUUGCGAAGGCAGCUCGCUAAGCUGUAACUGACGCUGAGGCACGAAAGUGUGGGUAGCAAACAGG
rnacentral:rRNA from 1 species